AGAGUUUGAUCCUGGCUCAGAACGAACGCUGGCGGCAGGCCUAACACAUGCAAGUCGAACGCCCCGCAAGGGGAGUGGCAGACGGGUGAGUAACGCGUGGGAACCUACCUUACGGUCGGGAAUAGCUCAGGGAAACUUGGGGUAAUACCGGAUACGCCCUUACGGGGAAAGAUUCAUCGCCGUUAGAUGGGCCCGCGUAGGAUUAGCUAGUUGGUGAGGUAAUGGCUCACCAAGGCGACGAUCCUUAGCUGGUCUGAGAGGAUGAUCAGCCACACUGGGACUGAGACACGGCCCAGACUCCUACGGGAGGCAGCAGUGGGGAAUAUUGGACAAUGGGCGCAAGCCUGAUCCAGCCAUGCCGCGUGAGUGACGAAGGCCUUAGGGUUGUAAAGCUCUUUUGGCGGGGAAGAUAAUGA
rnacentral:rRNA from 1 species